UUUUUGCAGAAUUAAUUAAAUUUUUAUAAUAUUGUCUUCAAAACAACAGAGGGGAAAAAAUUAAAAAUGUCCCUCCGGUAUUCAUUCAGCUGGUAGUUUAAAUUAAACAGAGGUCAUUGCAGUAAACCAAGUAACAGAUGGAUGAAUCUUCACAGUGCAAUGCAUCAAACCUUUUAAAUCCAAUACGUAACACCAUCCAGUGCAUCUCUACCCCCAGUCCAGCUCAACUAACAACAAUAUUCACAGAUUGUCAUAAUUGUGGAAAUAUAAUUAAUGCAGGUGCCAUAAGACAUGGGGGGCCCCCUACUACCUCUAGGGUUGAACAACUCUGGAAACUUAUUUUUAUUUAUAUAUAUAUAUAUAUAUAUAUAUUUUAUUUUUUAUUUUUUUAUCCCAGAUUCCUAAAAUCAAGAAGGGAAAUCUGGGAAUCCUACAACCUGGGAUUUCUGGAAAUCUGGUGAAUUUUGGGAAGUACUUUUGCAAAAUAUAGACCCACAACUACCUCUAGGUCAGUCUGUUGACAGCAGAGUAAUAUAGACCCACAACUACCUCUAGCUCAGUCUGUUGACAGCAGAGUAACAUUCAUUCACAUCUCGAUAGUGCUUUUCGUCCUCCUCCUACACAUUUUCACUCUAGAGAAUGUAUAUCUGAUAUGAAUAGAUGGUAUUUUCACUCUAGAAUACAUAUCUAAUCAGAUGGUAUAUAUUGUGUGUGUGUGUCCAUAACGGUUCACUAUUCUGUAUAUAGUCCACUACAUCGGGAACUAGUUGCUAUUUGGGAUACAUCCCAGGUCGUAGAAACUCUUCCAUAAAGACCUGGGGGGUGGGAGAGACCAGGGGACGGGAGGGACAAAUCAAAUAAAGACCUGGGGGGGGGGCGGGA
ensembl:lncRNA